rnacentral:rRNA from 1 species
UACGUAGGGACCGAGCGUUGUCCGGAUUCAUUGGGCGUAAAGAGCUCGUAGGCGGCUGUUCAAGUCGAACGUGAAAACUCGGAGCUCAACUCCGAGCCUGCGUUCGAUACUGGACGGCUAGAGUCUGGUAGGGGGAUCUGGAAUUCCUGGUGUAGCGGUGGAAUGCGCAGAUAUCAGGAGGAACACCGGUGGCGAAGGCGGGUCUCUGGGCCAAUACUGACGCUGAGGAGCGAAAGCGUGGGGAGCGAACAGG